AUAAUUUCAAUUAAGGGGGAUGAGUGUUCACAAUUAAUUUUUCAUAGAUUAUUGAUGUUGUUCAUAUAACAAUUUUCAAUCUAUUGUCCUGCACACACAUGUGACCAAGUGGAGUUUAUUCAUGUAUGUCUUUUGCUUGUUUUUUGUGAGGUUAUUUAUUAUUGUUUAUUGAGAAAAAAAGUUUUAUUUUAUAAUUAUACAUUGAGAAAAGAAAAUAUAAAAAUAUUACAAGUCGAAUGCUUAUUAUUUUCAUUUACUGUCAGAGGUAUUGAUUGUGUCAAUUU
rnacentral:lncRNA from 1 species